rnacentral:rRNA from 1 species
GACGAACGCUGGCGGCGUGCUUAACACAUGCAAGUCGAACGGAAAGGCCCUGCUUUCGUGGUGUGCUCGAGUGGCAAACGGGUGAGUAACACGUGAGUAACCUGCCCUUGACUUUGGGAUAACUUCAGGAAACUGGGGCUAAUACCGGAUAGGAGCUCCUGCUGCAUGGUGGUGGUUGGAAAGUUUGGGCGGUUGGGGAUGGACUCGCGGCUUAUCAGCUUGUUGGGGGGGUAGUGGCUUACCAAGGCUCUGACGGUUGGCCGGCCUGAGAGGGUGACCGGCCACAUUGGGACUGGGAUACGGCCCGGACUCCUACGGGAGGAAGAGGUGGGGAAUAUUGAACAUUGGGGGAAAGCCUGAUGCAGCAACGCCGCGUGCGGAAUGACGGCCUUCGGGUGGUAAACCGCUUUGGCCUGUGACGAGGCGUGAGUGACGGUAAUGGGUAAAGAAGCACCGGCUAACUACGUG